rnacentral:lncRNA from 1 species
CCGGCCGCCCCCGCGCUCCUCCCCCGCCCCGCCCGCGCGCGGGAGGAUCACGAAGGGACCGGGGUGGGAGCGGGCAGCGUCUGGGGACAGCGUGUUGGGCUGUGGGGAGGUUACCGAAAGGAAACGGGCCGAGUCCAGUUGUUUGAGCGGUUUUCUCCUUCCACGAGCGUGUGUGAAAAAGCGCGGAGUUCGGUGGAGGGCAGCUGCCAGGACUGCCUCCUGGACUGGGUGCGGUAAUUGUACAUUUUUUCAUCCUACAUCUCAAGAGACCAAGGGACCUAAGUAAAUUGAUCUACUUGCCAAUGACUGUAAGAAAGACAAAGAAGUUGUAAAAACAUCCAAAUGAUGUUAAACAUAAAUUAGCUCAGAAUAGUUUGCAGAAGAUAAACUACCAGCGUCAAAGCAUGCAUUAAAAACUGGAAAGAAAUUAAAAGUGUGGUAUUGAAAGAUGUACAACUGACUUUGGAAAAAGGAUUCCUCUCUAAUUGGUGUUUGAAAGAAGUGUGGACCAAGAAGGGCACUAUUACCACCAAUCCUGAAAAAUAACUGUCUUCACAGGUGAGGAGUAUCGCAGUGUACAGAACAUUUUAUAGGCUCCAUAUUUUCCUAUUCCACAAUCAGAAGCCUGUUUAUUCUAUGUCUUGCA